GCUGAAAUUCUAGUGUGGAUUUCUUUGUAGUGGCACUUCUUAAAACUAGAGAACGAAGAAAACAAAAUUAACAAAUAAAUACCUGCUGGUAAGUAUGCAUCAAUGACUCAAGAAGCCUGCAUUUAAGGCAUAAAUUGGCCAACGUGUUUCUCUUAAAGGAAUGAGUAGCAUAAUUAUAGCAUGCAAGAAAAUGCAGAAUCAUGCAUAAAAUCCUUAAGUGUCUAUUAGAAAAGGCAGAAUCACAUCAGUCAACCGGUGAACAGUACUGGAUUUCACUCGCUCAUUUAACGUCGUCACAUUAAUACAAGGAAAAAAACCAUGGCGAUCUGGUAAUAAAAAGUACAAUUGAUUCUACAAUUACAUAAAUUAAUGAAUUUUGAAAAGAAGAAAUAAACAAAUAAAAUAUAAAAUUAUAAAUAUUAUGAAGAACCAGACGAACGUUGAACAGAUCAAGCUCACAAGAUAAGGCU
rnacentral:misc_RNA from 1 species